rnacentral:rRNA from 1 species
UGCAAGUCGAGCGCCGUAGCAAUACGGAGCGGCAGACGGGAGAGUAACACGUGGGAACGUACCCUUUGGUUCGGAACAACCCAGGGAAACUUGGGCUAAUACCGGAUAAGCCCUUACGGGGAAAGAUUCAUCGCCGAAGGAUCGGCCCGCGUCUGAUCAGCUAGUUGGUGGGGUAAUGGCCCACCAAGGCGACGAUCAGUAGCUGGUCUGAGAGGAUGAUCAGCCUCACUGGGACUGAGACACGGCCCAGACUCCUACGGGAGGCAGCAGUGGGGAAUAUUGGACAAUGGGCGCAAGCCUGAUCCAGCCAUGCCGCGUGGGUGAUGAAGGCCCUAGGGUUGUAAAGCCCUUUCGGCGGGGAAGAUAAUGACGGUACCCGCAGAAGAAGCCCCGGCUAACUUCGUGCCAGCAGCCGCGGUAAUACGAAGGGGGCUAGCGUUGCUCGGAAUCACUGGGCGUAAAGCGCACGUAUGCGGAUUGUUAAGUCAGGGGUGAAAUC